rnacentral:ncRNA from 4 species
UGUCACGCGGGAGACCGGGGUUCGAUUCCCC